rnacentral:tRNA from 1 species
GGAGGGGUGGCCGAGCGGCUGAUGGCGGCGGUCUUGAAAACCGCUAGGGCGCAAGCCCUCGUGGGUUCGAAUCCCACCCCCUCCG